GUACACUCCUACGGGAGGCAGCAGUGGGGAAUUUUGGACAAUGGGCGAAAGCCUGAUCCAGCAAUGCCGCGUGAGUGAAGAAGGCCUUCGGGUUGUAAAGCUCUUUUGUCAGGGAAGAAACGGUGAAAGCUAAUAUCUUUUGCUAAUGACGGUACCUGAAGAAUAAGCACCGGCUAACUACGUGCCAGCAGCCGCGGUAAUACGUAGGGUGCAAGCGUUAAUCGGAAUUACUGGGCGUAAAGCGUGCGCAGGCGGUUUUGUAAGUCUGAUGUGAAAUCCCCGGGCUCAACCUGGGAAUUGCAUUGGGGACUGCAAGGCUAGAAUCUGGCAGAGGGGGGUAGAAUUCCACGUGUAGCAGUGAAAUGCGUAGAUAUGUGGAGGAACACCGAUGGCGAAGGCAGCCCCCUGGGUCAAGAUUGACGCUCAUGCACGAAAGCGUGUGGAGCAAACAGGAUUAGAAACCCCAGUAGUCCCAU
rnacentral:rRNA from 1 species